ensembl:lincRNA
CUUUCCACACAGCCCCACCAACUCAUCUUUGACGUGAUUUUUCAGGUUGGUGCUCCAGUUGGCUUUGAGUAAGAGCUCCCCUGACAUACUCCAUAAAAUGGUCUUUAAAAACUUGUAACACCAGCAGCCAAAAUCCCUCUCUUACUCAUCCUCAUGUGCUAAUGUUGACUAUAUUCUGGAGGUUUGGCAAACUUGGAGUGAGCACCCUUCCUAAGAAGGGGUUACCCUGUGGCAGGACUGUCCUGCCCAGAGAUCUCCCGAUCUGGGGGCCCUCGCUGCUCCACACCCCCAGUGACUCCCUGCUCACCCUGUGGAAUGCUCACGGGGUUUGCCUUCUCCAUAAACCAGAAGCCUGCUCUCUCCUCCUUCCCUGUUUAGUCAGAGCAGGCUUGACACAUCUGAAACAUCUGCUGGGAUGUCUUUCUACCGCCUCCAGAAGCAGUGCCUCGGGGGCCGGUGAGGUACUUUCCCCAACCUUCUCUCCAAUCUUUCCAGCCUCUCACAUGCGGCUGAGAGGCUUAGGACUGAACUUGGCCAGCCGGGCAUGGUCUCUAGAGGACUCCGCACCACAGUGAGAGGAGAACUCAUCAAUGCAAAAUGCACCGGAGCAGGAGCGCAGUCCUGUCAGAACACCCGGGACUCCUGGAGCUGCUGGAGGCGGCACUGGGCGAGGGUGCCUAGGGAGCCAGGAGGGGAGGCGAACUGUGGGCAGAGCCUAGGGACAAGACAGGAGGCACACCUUCAGAUGGUGGAGGUGCUUCGGGACAAAGUCUCCACAGAGCUGUAGGAUUUUCUUCUUGGGCAGGGGCUGUGUCAGUUGGGCAGGUGGAUUCUUGUAUUUUAAUCUAACUUUCAACCAGUCCACAGGCUUCUCUUUGGAGCCCACACAGGGAGAGGUUGCUUGAGGUGUCUGGUGUCUCUCAAGAGACCUGAAUCCUACUGGAUUAGAGCUCCACCCUAAUGGCUUCAUUAAAUCGUAAUCACUUCCUUUACAGGCCCCAUUGCCAAAUACAGCCACAGCUGGGGUUUGGGGCUUCAGCUGAUCAUUCUGGGAAGGGCACACGCAUUCAGUCCAGACUAGGUGGACGUCCCCCACCACUGUCAUACCUGAGUCAAACCUGAGUCUACAUACAGUUCUCAACCAGAGAGACGGGUCUAUUCCCCACAGACCUUCAGCACCUGGGAAUCUGCUGGACACUGAAUACGGGUUCAGGGCAUCAGAGCACCAUGGUUAAGAACUCCGGUUCUGAACUAACAACAAACAGCCAGCACCUCUUGUCUGCUGUCUUGGGAACGCAACUGCGAGUCAGAGUUCCACGGUGACAGGCACGCGGCAGCAUGCAGGGCACUAGGCUUUCUGUGGCAGCCCUGGGGUGGCCUCGGGUAAUGAACAGCCUCUUGCAGAAAAGCAGCAGGACCCUCCAGGGCCCUCCCCAGGACAAAAGACUUUCCAUGUCCCCUGUUUCUUGUUUGUAGGAAAAAGGCUUCAGCCAGACCUUCCCUGAGUUCCAAAGGGGAGAUUCAAACAGUUAGGGAUAAGGGAACUGAGUGAACGUAGAAAAAAGAAAAAGCAGUCACGGCACAACAGUGCUACAACAAAGACGGGCCCCAGUGCCUCCUCAAGGGACACACACAACAAUCUGGAAUAUAUCUCUGAGUGCUUCUACAGGAACUAAGGUUCCCACUUGGCUAAAGAUGGUAACUUCAGGCUGAGCACAAACAUACAGACACUAGACUGGUUGGAACUAGGCUGAUGACUGAGAUUCCUGAAACACCAUCCUGUUAUCUCACCACCAACCGAUGAAAAGAAAGUCACACAUCCUGCAGCCUCUCACCCCCACCCCUCUGCCAAAUGCUGCCGUUAAGAACACUUGCCUGAAGUGUUUGGUCUAUUGAGCACACAUCUGGCUCCUUGCUUGGCCCUGUAAUAGGCCUUUCUCUGCUCCAGACUCCAAUGUUUCAGUUUGUUUGGCCUCACUAUGCAUUGGGCCCAUGAACUUGGGUUCAGUGACACUGUGAUGGUGAACAAUACAAUAAGUCCUCUACAUGCACAUGAGCUCUGUUCUAAGAGUGGGUUCCAAAGUCCAAUUUGUCCAACAAAGUUAGCCUAGGUACCCACAUAACACUAUCGCUCCAUACCAUCGCUUUUAUGCUUGCUUCCGGACAUCCUGGGCUUGAAAUAAAAAAACUAUACCACUGUACUCUACACAGUAAAGUAUACAAAAGCACAGCCACGUGCAGAGGGUGCGUGCAUGCGGCAAUGUAUACCAGACACAGGAACUAACUUACUUGAUUGAAGAUGGUUCACGUGUAGGGGACUUACUGUAAUUAUCAAUACAUCAGUACAUGAAAACAGAGCCUGUGAUGAGGUUCAGGAUGUGCUACCCAAAAUAUGGCACCUUGGGAUAGUAAUAUCUUAAGCUGAAGGAAUUAACAAAAACAAAACAAAACAAAAAACCCCAGCAGAUGCAGGAAGAUCACUCUGACCUCUCCUAGACCACUCUUCUUCCCUGAAACAGGUCAUAAAACUCCUAUGUGAAUAGUAUCCCACACCAGGAGGAGGAAAGACAUUCAUAUCACCAAAAACGGGGAAUUUGGGACCAAGAAAUCUGUACAAACAAGCCUUGUUAAAUUAACUCAUAUCUUCUUAGUUACUUCUUCACCAUUUACUACCUCAAGCCCAAAUCCCUUUGAGUUGUCAGUUCUUCACAAAUUUAUUAUUGUUUUGUUUCAAAGAAAAUUUUCAAAUUUCUACAGUGAAUACAUAUAACCUUGUACUGAUAUAAAUUAUUUUAAAGUGUUUUAAAGCAUUGCAUUUAUCCACUGAAGGAAAUUCAAAAAGAUUUUCUUCAGCUAGUUCCCACAUGUGCGGUUGUUGUUUAGUUGCUAAGUUGUGUCCAUCUCUUUUGGGAUCCCAUUGACUGCAGCCCGCCGGGCUGUUCUAUCCAUGGGAUUUCCCAGGCAAGAAUACUAGAGUGGGUGGCCAUUUUCUGUUCCAGGGUGUCUUCCUGCCCCAGGGAUCUAACCCGCUCCUCCUGCUUGACAAGAAUACUAGAGUGGGUGGCCAUUUUCUGUUCCAGGGUGUCUUCCUGCCCCAGGGAUCUAACCCUCUCCUCCUGCUUGACAGAAGAUUCUUUACCACUGAGCCACCUGGGAAGCCCUCUAGAUCCCACACAGGUUAAGUUAAGUCACUCACUCAGUUGUGUCCAACUCUUUGUGACCCCAUGGACUGUAGCCCACCAGGCUCCUCUGUCCAUGGGGUUCUCCAGGCAAGAAUACUGGAGUGGGUUGCCAUUUCCUUCUCCAGGGGAUCUUCCCGACCCAGGGAUCAAACCCAGGUCUCCCGCAUUGCAGGCAGACGCUUUAACCUCUGAGCCACCAGGGAAGCCCAUAGGAGGUCCGAAAUAUGAGAUUUGUCAGAUAUGUGGCUGAAUCUAACAGAAACACUGGCUGUACAAAAAAACAAUCAUAAUGUCAAAUGUGUCUUCAGAGAAACAAGCCAAAAACAAAAACCUGGGCAAAGACGGCAUUAACAUUGGAAGAGGGUUAUCAGAACUACUGGGCUUCCCUGAUAGCUCAGUUGGUAAAGAAUCCACCUGCAAUGCAGGAGGCCCUGGUUUGAUUUCUGGGUCGGGAAGAUCCACUGGAGAAGGGAUGGGCUACCCACUCCAGUAUUCUGGCCUGGAGAAUUCCAUGGAUUGUAUAGUCCAUAGGGUUGCAAGAAUCGGACACGACUGAGUGACCUUCACUUUCAUCAGAACUACCGCAGCAUAUUAUUCAGUGGCACUAUUCACAAAGUACAGAGGAAUUGCAGGAAUGAAGAGAAACACCAAGAAUUUUCUGUAAGUGCUCCUUUUGAGCCAUUGAGAGAGAGAAAAAAUUGCUGACCACAUUUGAGGAAAGACAUCUCCAUAAAAUUUAAAGUCAGGAUCUUCAUUUCAAGAUAAAGAUAGACAUAAUGUACCUUUGAGAACAGACUCGUCUCUUGGUAACUUAAGAUCAGAAAAGCAAAGAAUGGCAAUUACUUAAAAAUAAGCAAGCAUUUGGCAAUUAGGUCAUUUCAUUUUAACAAAUAUCUACAGUCUCUAUAGCUCAUAAGGUAUUCAUCAUUCUCCAAACAAAAGCAACUUGAUGUAACACAAGCAAAAGUUACCUGAAAUUGUUUCAAAGUUUCCUUAUAAUUUGAAUGUGCUCUCCUUUUCAUAGGGGACUCACAUUUCUAACAGAGAAGGCAAUGGCACCCCACUCCAGUACUCUUGCCUGGAAAAUCCCAUGGAUGGAGGAGCCUGGUGGGCUACAGUCCAUGGGGUCGCUAACAGUCAGACACGACUGAGCAACUUCACUUUCACUUUUCACUCUCAUGCAUUGGAGAAGGAAAUGGCAACCCGCUACGAUGUUCUUGCCUUGAGAAUCCCAGGGAGAGCCUGGUGGGCUGCCAUCUCUGGGGUCGCACAGAGUUGGACAUGACUGACGCGACUUAGCAGCAGUAGCAGCACAUUUCUAAUUCCAUGUUUUCCAUUUCCAGACUAGAUAUGUAUCUAUGCAUCUUGGCUCCAUCCUUCAUUACUUACGGGUAGCUAAAUUAUGCUGAAUUAAGCUACCACAUAUUCGAGGUCAGGGGUGGUGUCUGAGAGUGCCAGGCUGCGACAGCGCAGGAGCGGCUGAGAGGAGCUACUCCACACCCCAGGUCAGGGCCGGCGGCUGAGAGGAGCAACCCCAUGUCCAAGGAGUGGUGGCUUGAGCGGGUGCAGGAGGGCCGAGAGGAGCUACUCCAUGUUCAAGGUCAGGAGGGGUGGUGGUGAGGAGAUACCCCUCAUCCAAGGUAAGGAGCAGUGGCUGCACUUUGCUGGGGCAGCCAUGAAGGGAUACCCCACGUCCAAGGUAAGAAAAACCCAAGUAAGAUGGUAGGUCUUGCGAGAGGCAUCAGAGGGCAGACACACAAACCAUAAUCAUAGAAAACUAGUCAAUCUAAUCACACGGACCACAGCCUUGUCUAACUCAAUGAAAUUAAGCCAUGCUGGUUGGGGCCACCCAAGACGGGUGGGUCAUGGUGGAGAGGUCUGACAGAAUGUGGUCCACUGGAGAAGGGAAUGGCAAACCACUUCAGUAUUCUUGCCUUGAGAACCCCAUGAACAGUAUGAAAA